UACGUAGGGUGCGAGCGUUGUCCGGAAUUAUUGGGCGUAAAGGGCUCGUAGGCGGUUUGUCGCGUCGGGAGUGAAAACCAGGUGCUUAACACCUGGCUUGCUUUCGAUACGGGCAGACUAGAGGUAUUCAGGGGAGAACGGAAUUCCUGGUGUAGCGGUGAAAUGCGCAGAUAUCAGGAGGAACACCAGUGGCGAAGGCGACUUCCUGGCCUGUUCUUGACGCUGAGGCGCGAAAGCCAGGGGAGCAAACGGG
rnacentral:rRNA from 1 species